rnacentral:rRNA from 1 species
GCCAGACUCCUACGGGAGGCAGCAGUGAGGAAUAUUGGUCAAUGGCCGGAAGGCUGAACCAGCCAAGUCGCGUGAGGGAAUAAGGCCCUAUGGGUCGUAAACCUCUUUUGUCAGGGAGCAAAGGCGUCCACGUGUGGACGAGAGGAGAGUACCUGAAGAAAAAGCAUCGGCUAACUCCGUGCCAGCAGCCGCGGUAAUACGGAGGAUGCGAGCGUUAUCCGGAUUUAUUGGGUUUAAAGGGUGCGUAGGCGGAGUGUCAAGUCAGCGGUAAAAUUUCGGGGCUCAACCCCGUCGUGCCGUUGAAACUGGCGGGCUGGAGUUGGAGAGAAGUACGCGGAAUGCGCGGUGUAGCGGUGAAAUGCUUAGAUAUCGCGCAGAACCCCGAUUGCGAAGGCAGCGUACCGGCUCCACACUGACGCUGAGGCACGAAAGCGUGGGUAUCGAACAGGAUUAGAUACCCCCGUA